UACGUAGGGUGCGAGCGUUGUCCGGAAUUAUUGGGCGUAAAGAGCUCGUAGGCGGCCUGUCGCGUCGGAUGUGAAAACUCGGGGCUUAACCCCGAGCCUGCAUUCGAUACGGGCAGGCUAGAGUUCGGCAGGGGAGACUGGAAUUCCUGGUGUAGCGGUGAAAUGCGCAGAUAUCAGGAGGAACACCGGUGGCGAAGGCGGGUCUCUGGGCCGAUACUGACGCUGAGGAGCGAAAGCGUGGGGGAGCGAACAGG
rnacentral:rRNA from 1 species